AUACACUUUCUGCCUUCCUGCCUGUUGCCUCAUGCCCCAGGGUGGCUGUCAUAGCACAGGGCAUCACACCGCUACACCAGCAUCUCAAACGGGAAGGAAGUGGCAGGUGUACAAAGGAUGACCACUUUGUGAAUCAGGUUACGAUUUUCUUUUCUAACAAAGGAAAAGCUUCUCAGAGGCUCCCCCUGCAAGUGUCUCUUUAACCCCGUUAGGCCAUGGGCCAUGUGGCCGGCCCUGACUUUAACAGGGUGGGAAAGUGAACAUGUGUCAAAGUGGACCAGGAUGGCCAGCCCCCACUAGGCGAGCACAUAGUUGCCCCAAACAAAAUCAGGGUUCGCUUAGCUGGGAAGCAGGUGCUAAGGCUGUCGGGGAGGCUGCCAACUGGCCUGUCACAGAGAAAAAUCAGAGCCCAGGGAGGGGUUUUGACAGCAGCACAGAGAGAGAUGAUGUGGUUUGAACAUGGGGGCCAUGAGCAGUGCCUCUUUCUCUUAGAGAGAGUGCGUCCAGUGUAAAUGUGAAGGAGAGAUAGAAACACAGGCUCUUCAUUUUUGGUCUGAGUGACUGAGUCGAGGGGGAUGCCCUUUGCCGAGAUGGGGAAGACAGAGGGAAGAGCUUGUUAGUCACAGGGUGGAAAUUAAGAAUUGCCUACUGGGGACAGAAGUGGAGAUGCUAUGCAGGGGUGGAGUUUCUCGAGGGAUGCCAAGACGAGAGGCCACUGCUGCAGCCCUGCGCCUGGAGGCUGGGCUCGCCACAUCUGCUCUGCCCUUCCCUCCGUGCUGCGUGACGCUGGAGCUGGCCUUUGAAAGCCACAUCAGCCUGUUCCUUGACCUGUGGUUUCUGGUUAUGCUAGCCCAACAGGAGCACCAAAGGCCCUUGAGGGAAGGAAAGAGCAAGGCCAAGGUGUCUACUAUUCCCCUGACUUCCUCCUGCCAGGUCACCGAGGGUUGGCUGUGCACCUCAAUUGAAGCUCCGGCCCUGUCAGGCACCCACCACUCUCCUUUCUCUCUCUCCAGUUCCAGUUCCUGCGUCCUCCCCUUGUUCCUGCCAGCGGGGGAUGGCAUCACGCAGGCAUGGUGAAUCCUGGCCCUUGGGACUUCCCUGCGCCUUGCACAGAUCGCACAGAUUGUGGUAGAUGGUCCCUUGCAAGUGUCAUCCUGCCUGAUGCAUCACCACCGAGGAAGCGACCGAAGUCAGAGACAGAGGAUGCUGCCACUCCCCAAGAAUGAAGCCGGUAGGGGAUAUUAUUGGACUUCGUAUGUGAUGGCAAUGACUCAACAGAAAGAAAAAUUGCUGAUGCAAGAAAAAGAGUGUCUUGCCUCGUCCAGGCAAGAGGGCAUCAGACUUGGGACAGCUCACUCGAGGCAGGGAAAGAAAAGCGGGUCGCACGAUUGCAGGCACAGGGCUUCAUUCCCAUCACCUAGGCUGCAGUACAGGGGCAUGAUCUCGGCUCACUGCAACCUCCACCUCCUGGACUCAAGCAACCCUCCCAUUCCAGCCUCCCAGGUAGCAAGGACUACAGGCACACACCACCAUGCCAGGCUAAUUUUUGUUUGUUUGUUUUUGUUGAGACGGUGUUUCACCAUGUUGCCCAGGCUGGCCUCGAACUCCUGAGUUCAAGUGAUCUGCCCACCUUGGCCUCUCAAAGUGCUGGGAUUACAGGCACGAGCCACCACACUCAGCCUUCAUCAUCUAAUAAAAUCUAACCAAAUCC
ensembl:lncRNA novel transcript, antisense to CACNA1B and EHMT1